rnacentral:lncRNA from 1 species
UAUAGUUAAGUGUACACAACAUUUUCAUCAAUAAAAAUUAUGUUCACGCUAAUCAACUCUCUAUUUUUCUUGGUAUUAACAGAUGUGGUUCCACAUCUUAUAAAGUCUAACCCUUAUCAUCCAACUAUCUUUAUCAUUGUUUAACUCAUGAAGAAAAAAGUACUCCAUGAAGCAUACAAUACUAAAAAUUUAAAUAAGUCAAAAAAUAAAAACACAAGAACAUUUCUAAAGAGGAUGUUGGUUAAAUAAUAAAAAAAUUCAAACAUAACAAAUCUUAAAUGCUUAAUAUUUAUAGAGUUUGAAUAAGCCAAAAGACACUAAAUAAAAGGUUGCAUAAUUAAAUAUGAGAUUAUGACAUUAAAAUUAGGUUCUAAUGCCAUUGGUGAGGGAAGAUGAAUGAACCUUCCUUCCUAUAUUAAUUAGUUGAUGUAUUUUAAACCACUAAAGUUUAGUUGUUGGCUUAAUAAAAUAAAUGAAUGUUUCAAAACUUAUAAUUAAUUUAUUAUUAAUGGUUACAUAUUGUUGAAUUUAAAUAGAAAGAGGAAGAGA